UACGAAGGGGGCUAGCGUUGCUCGGAAUCACUGGGCGUAAAGGGUGCGUAGGCGGGUCUUUAAGUCAGGGGUGAAAUCCUGGAGCUCAACUCCAGAACUGCCUUUGAUACUGAGGAUCUUGAGUUCGGGAGAGGUGAGUGGAACUGCGAGUGUAGAGGUGAAAUUCGUAGAUAUUCGCAAGAACACCAGUGGCGAAGGCGGCUCACUGGCCCGAUACUGACGCUGAGGCGCGACAGCGUGGGGAGCAAACAGG
rnacentral:rRNA from 1 species